rnacentral:tRNA from 1 species
GCACUGGUGAUUCAGUGGUAGAAUCCUUGCCUACCAUGCGCGAGACCUGGGUUCAUUUCCAGCCUAUGCA